CCUACGGGAGGCAGCAGUGAGGAAUAUUGGUCAAUGGACGAGAGUCUGAACCAGCCAAGUAGCGUGAAGGAUGACUGCCCUAUGGGUUGUAAACUUCUUUUAUAUGGGAAUAAAACGUUCCACGUGUGGGAUUUUGUAUGUACCAUAUGAAUAAGGAUCGGCUAACUCCGUGCCAGCAGCCGCGGUAAUACGGAGGAUCCGAGCAUUAUCCGGAUUUAUUGGGUUUAAAGGGAGCGUAGGUGGAUUGUUAAGUCAGUUGUGAAAGUUUGCGGCUCAACCGUAAAAUUGCAGUUGAAACUGGCAGUCUUGAGUACAGUAGAGGUGGGCGGAAUUCGUGGUGUAGCGGUGAAAUGCUUAGAUAUCACGAAGAACUCCGAUUGCGAAGGCAGUUCACUGGACUGCAACUGACACUGAGGCUCGAAAGUGUGGGUAUCAAACAGGAUUAGAUACCCUAGUAGUC
rnacentral:rRNA from 1 species